rnacentral:lncRNA from 1 species
AGAAAGGGAAGAUGUGUGGGGAAGAGGUGUGAGGAAGUGGUUAUUUGUGUAAAGGGAAGAAGAUGAGCAGAGCAGAAACGGGGCCAAAGAAAGACGACCCAAGAAGUCAAGAAGGACCAGGAGAAUGAAGUGUCAGGAAGCUGUGGGAGAAUAGAGAAGUAAAGAGGCUGGGGUCAAAAGCCACAGGAGACUUCUGCUGAGGUAAGGACUGAAACAUGUCAUUUGCACUUAGUUGAGGAAUGACCAGUAAUUCAGAAGAGUAUUGAAAAUGAUUUCUGAGGAGUAAUGGAUACUGAUAGUUCUACAUAUUUUUUUUCUUUUAAUCCAAGAGGUUUUUAGAGGUGACUUAUGGAUAGAAGUUGUGAAGAAAGAGGGGAAAAUGGAGAGGCUGAAGACACAGAGGAGAGGAGCUGGCCUGAGGUGGCUGAAGGUAUAGCAUCCCAGAAGAGAGGCUGGACUGGAAAGCAGGAGGGACACCCCACCAGCAGAAGGAGGGGUCCCUCGUCAGUGGGAGUGGAUAGCAGGCUUAAACUCACAGGACACAGUGGAGGGCAAGCUAACUAGGUGGACCGCAGAGACCCACAGGUGUCCUGCCUUUAAGCACUGAGACCUUGGCUGCUAGGUAAUCGCCUCAAGAUCCACCCAGGGAUUUCCCAUCUAACUUAAUGGGACAAAAUUUAGGAAUAAAGAGAACAGACCCUCACA